rnacentral:rRNA from 1 species
UAGCCACGGUAAUACCAGCCCCGCGAGUGGUCGGGACGUUUAUUGGGCCUAAAGCGCCCGUAGCCCGGCCCCGGUAAGUCACCCCUUAAAGGACCCAGGCUCAAACCUGGGGAGUGGGGGUGAUACUGCCGGGGCUAGGGGGGCGGGAGAGGCCCAGGGGGUACUCCCCGGAGUAGGGGGCGAAAUCCGUAGAUCCCGGGAGGACCACCAGUGGCGAAGGC